AUAUAUAACUAUAAUGAGACUAUUUUUGGCGUCCUAAUUAGAAUUGUCAGAGAAUGGAUUUAUUGGACGGGACCUUCGGUGCGGGAUGUCAGGUAUACAGUCUGAUCCUUGCCUCCGAGUCUCUCUAGUAGUCCAUACUGUCAGUAAAGUGCGUUGUAAUUUUUGUGUUUUGUCACGGGCGAAAAACAGCAGUUUCAAGCAGCAAUCAAAUUCUGCGUGAAACUGAGAAAAUCUGGUUCCGAUCGUUGGAUCCGAAACGUUGGAGAUGUUGAGAACAGCUUAGGGAGAUGCUGCUUUGUCUUCAAAAUUUAAUUGCGUAACGCUGCUCAAAAUACAGUCUGUGCUAAAUUUUCGUCUGUGACAAGACACAAAAAUUACAAUGCACUUUUCUGACGGUAUUGACUGCUAGAAAGCUAGACUUGGAGACAACUGAGAAUAGUCAGAUUUUGAUCUAAUAUCCCGCACCAAAGGCCGGCCUGUCUAAUGUAUCCACUCCCCGACAAUUCUAAUUGGGUAAAACAUUGUUCGGAUGUACGUUUGGAGAGAGAAAGAACAAAGAAUGCAUAGGAUGGAAUUCGAGUCUUCCGGAUUCCAGAUUCCUUCGAAUUACUAGCGACCAUCCACCAACGUCCGCUGUGCCUUUUAUUACAAUUAAUAACAUG